UUCAGGGUGGUGUAGUGGUUUGAAUGUUGGACUAUAACUCUGGAGACCUGAGUUCGAUUCCUGGCUUGGCCUUAAAA